GACGAACGCUGGCGGCGUGCUUAACACAUGCAAGUCGAGCGGUAAGGCCCUUUCGGGGUACGCGAGCGGCGAACGGGUGAGUAACACGUGGGUGACCUGCCCUCAGCUCUGGGAUAAGCCCGGGAAACUGGGUCUAAUACCGGAUAUGACUUCAUGACGCAUGUUGUGGAGUGGAAAGCCUUGUGCGGCUGAGGAUGGGCCCGCGGCCUAUCAGCUUGUU
rnacentral:rRNA from 1 species